GGUCCUCCGCUGCAAGCACGGGGGCUGCUUUUGGUUUUUGUUCUCUAACAAGGGAAAAGCUGUUUCCGCGUCUGGAAGAGUGCUGGAAAAUUGCAAAAGAGCCGAGCAGUUGAGUUUCAGCCCAACCCAAAACAAUCUUUUUCCUUGUUAAAAGCUUUUAUUUGGAAAGAAAAUAGUGACCAACACGAAAGAAAUGUUUUCUGCAUAACCACAUUUUUAUUUUAGCAGGAUUUACCGCAAAACAGACUUUAUUCACCAGUGUUGUUAGUGCUGUUGGGCACAAACUUAUCACUCACGCCGCUGAGCACAUCUGUGUCUUGUUCUAGGUAAUUGCAGGUUGGAUGAGCGGCGCUUCCCACACUCUCAGCAUCAGGCAUAAACUUUUCUGUGAUUUCUCAUGUAGUCCACCCUCUAAUUCUGUAAACAGCUUCACUUUGUAUUAUAUCCUGAAGGCUGAAUAACAGGUUUGGCAGAUCAACAAGGGAAACAAGUUUUUGAGGUGGAAAUCCCUCGCUAAAUAUGCUGUGUCUUCAAUUCAACCAUGCUGCCUAAAAAGUUUCUACAUCUCUGUUUCACCCCUGAGAUGUAGCUCGCCUGAGGGAAGAGGCAUCUCUGCAAUCUUCUGCCAGAAUUCAGGAAAGCAAGCAGUCACCCGGUUCCUCUCCAAACUUUCCAUUGCACAAGGAAUAUGAGCCUCGCUGUUGCAACCCUGUUCCCACCACUAGGCUUGCAAUGUCUUGGAAACCCCCCGCUGAGCACAGUUUGAGGGAUUAGGUUAGCACUGCGCCGUUCUAGGCGCUCAGAAGGCCUUCAUAGGCAGACAAGUAUUAACCAUGGAAGCAUGCCAACCCAAGCACUUUCUGCCUGAAUUACUACUCAGGUUAGCAAAACCCUGCAUUACUCCAGGGCUGUGUUAGUAUGAGUACUGCAUCUUCAGAUAUGUUGUUCUUUCACACAAAAAGGUUAUUUUGGUGUAAAACUGAAGAGAGGAAUAAAAACCCCUGCAUGCUUAAGCACCUUUAACAAAUAACACGGUAUCUGGGCAGCAGCAAUGCCCAGGGCAGCAGAAACGGCAAACUGAUGGUGCUUGAUCAGACACCUGGAGCAGUUCCUGAGGAGUUGGAGGAUGUUCAAUUAUAAACAGAAAUAGAAAUCAUGUUCAGCAUCAGUUGGAGGUUUGGGGUUUUUUAAGUAUACAGCACAAAUAUCAGAGCUUCUAAAUUUCAUUUUCUCCUGGUAGUGCGAGAGUUUUGUAGUAUCUUCUGACUUUGUGGCAUUUUCCCUGUCUAGGCUUUGCUUGGUAUCCCUCCCUUGCAGCAAGGUGCUCAGAUGUCCACCAUUCUUAACCACCAUAUUGACCCAGUGAUGCCAAGAAAGAUCCACUUGUAUGCUUCGCAGGGUCUAUGCUAAAGAACACUUUUGAACCCAGACCCAAGUAAAACAAAGGCAACAGACACAGCUCCUAAGCUGUAUUUUAUGCCUUCAUUAAAUUUACAUUUUAAAGUAGUCUAAUAUUACUCUCUAGAAUGUAGACUCUCCUAAAUAUCUUCCCCUCUCACUUAUUCUCUUGUUUGGUAUGGUUAUUUGGUCAUUUUCUUUUUUUUUUUUUAAAUUGUAUCUUUUUGUUUGUUUAAUUGAGAGCAGUGAGCAGCAGAGAACACCAAGACCAAGGUAAAGCCCUGUUCAUUUCUUUGUUUUCUUCUGAUUCUUCUAGAAAUCAUGAUCUUCAGUGUUUUGCCCAUCCUCCUUAAAAGUUUUGUGUGUACUAAGAUUAAAUUCUCAGGAAGUUUAUCAUCAGUCUGAAGUGGUACUUGUAUGACAAUUAAUUAGUACUGACCCACCAGGACUCUUAACUGCAAUUAACAUUCAUAUACAUCAGCAGCUGUAGUAAAUGAUGGGACUUUCCUAGGCUUGUUUCUCUGUCGGUUGAUCUGGGGUGGGAGUCAAUAGCUCUGAAUGAGCUGUUACUACUCAGGAAAGGGAUGAGAGGGUCACGGUGGAUGGUUCUGGGAAGCUAUCCUCUGGGUGCUCAGUGGAGAGAUCACCACGCCGACCAGAGCACUGGGAAUGCUGUUAGGAAAGACAUCGAGAGCCAUCUGUCAAGUAUCAUUAUGACACGUUCCUGUGGCAAUCCCACAUCAAAAUGGCUAAGUAGAAGCAGAGAAAGCUCAAAGCAAGGCAAACAAGAUUUUUUGAACUUGUAUACAACAGCUUCAAUGUAAGAGAAACAGAAGUGGAUUUUUUCAACAUGGAAAGGGAAUGAUGGGAGAGGAAAAGGCUUUACAUAUGAAGUACAGAUCUAUAAAACCAUGAAAGGUGUGGAGAAGGUUAAAUGUGUAACAAGCAUUCACUGCUUAGUAUCAGAUAAGAACUAGGGAGAACCUAUGUAAGAUAUCAGACAACAGGACUCCUUCUUUACAUGAGAAUAUUGUGGAAUUCAUUGGCUCAGGUUGCUGUGGGGCGCAAAAUUACAAAGCAGCCAAAAGGCACUAGGUAAAUUCAUAGGGGAUAGGUCCACUGUUAAACAGUGGAUCCUUGUAGUUCAAGAAAUAUCAGAACUGCUGAUUUCUCACGGUUAGAAAGAUCUGCCGGGGAAGAGCCAUUCCACAGGGCCUGUUUGUUAAACUCCUCUAAACAUCUGCUGCUGGGCACUGUUGCACGGUAUUGGGCUGGAUGGACUUGAUCUGAAUCAGCUCUUCAUAUGUUCAAAGCCAGUCAAUGGCCAUAGUGUAACACCACAAAAUACAUUAGUAAUAGUUAGCAGAAGUGAAAUAGUUCAGACUUGUUUGUAAUGUUUUGUCAGAUUCAGACUCUGGUUAUUUAGAAUUCAUCUGCCAAAACACCUCUCAUGCAGUAAGACCUACAGAAGAGGACCAAGGAUGAAAGUCUGCCAAGAUGGCCCUCCUGAAUUUCUCUUACAUCAUUUGUCCAGGGCAUAUGAUUUGCCCCUUGCGAAAUGACACGUGCUUCUGCAGGUAGUAUUGAGACCUGGACCUCUGAAGUUAGUUGAUGCCCCUUGCACAGAAUGUUUCAGGAAGCAGAAUUUAGAUUCCACCAAAUUAUCCUAGCCUCAUAUCCCUUCUUUUGUUUGGUCUGGCCUUUUAGUUGUUUUCUGUCUUUUGCUCCUAUGUCUCAUGUUUGGUUUUUAAUAAGGGAGCAGUGAGCAAUAAAGAACAUUUAUAUUUCUAAUAAACAAAGCAUGAGGAGUU